GUCGAUUGUCUUUUCAAAUACGGACAAAGAUGUUAACAUCAUGAGAGAAGAAAUAGCAGACACUCUCCUCCAAAACACUGGCUACGCUGCCGCCCCAUGGACAGAAAAAGAGACGAGAAGAGAGAAUGAAAAGGGCUGAAAAAGCAAAUAAGUCAAUCAAGUGUGAGGAGAAGCAGUACAAUGGACUUUAGGAAGAAAAGUCAAGAAAUGGAAAAAGACAAAUGACUGAAAUGUUUUUGGAACAGAGGAUCAAUUGAGUCAAGACAUACUGUAUUACAGUAUCUGACUGAUCGUAGUUCAAAAUAGUGUAUAUAAAUAGAGGUAGGCUUCAGAACCAAGUGCACGAUUAGUUUGUGCAUUACUAUUUUGAACUACGAUCUGUCAUACUGUAAUCCAAAAAUAUAUAUUUAUAUUAUUUUGUUCAGUGUAGGCCUCUACUUGAAUGCAUGUUCUACAGGCUACCUAGCCUAAAUGUUACCUUUGUUCAAUGUGAAUGAAUCACAACUGCUAUAAAGUUAGUGAAUGUUGCACUAAAACGUCAAUGACAAUGUUAAAAUGAAUGUUGCACAAGUUCAAAUGUUACAAUACAUGUUGCACUAAAGUAACAAUGUUGAAAUACGUUGAUUUGUUUUUGCUCUCAGUAUUCAUAUCGGUGUUGUAUAAAGGUUUUCGAUAUGUUAAAAUAGUCCCACUAGAAUGUGAUGGGGCAUUCUAGUAGCAAUGCUGGGGACUGCCAGUGAGUUUUACAUGCGUUAAUAACUGGGCUGGGAUAUAUGCAUUUUCAUGACUGCAUAUGUUAAUUCAGUAUACAUUACAUUAUCCCACGUCACAAUUGUGACCAACCAUAACACAAUUUUUACCUACUUUUCCAUGAAAACAAAGUAUGAUUGAUUAUUUCAAAGGCUUACUAAUGACACAAGAUAUGGAUAUUUUCAUGUCUGGGAACAAGUCGGGAUUUAAUGGGUUAACAGCCUCAAGACAGGUUGAUUUUUCAGCAAUGUAACUAACCCAUGCGCAACUACGGGGCAAACCAGACUAGGUUGGCUUAGAUUGUUGACAUGUCGAAUAUAUUUAGUCUCCAAUGUUAAUUGAAAACAAUUACAUUUGCACUAGUCUUAAAUACAUUGUUAGUGGGUUAGCAUGCAAAUUUGUCAUACUAGCAUUGACAUUACAUCAGUCAAAACAAGAUGUGGUAUCAAGAAGAAACAAGUCACUUAUGAGUCAGACAUGGCAGAUUGUCAUUGUUAGUAGCACUUGGCCAUCCAGAAUCACAACUUUAGCCACAUUGACGUUGUCAGCUAACCCAUCUAUAAACGACAGAUUAUUCAAUACUUUAAUUUAUAAUCGCAGUAAAACUUAAAGUACCUAGGUUCCCCUGUUUAACUAUUCCCUGGCUCAGCAGCAGGUUGAAAAAAGCAAAGACUUCGCAGGGAAUUGAACCCCAUCCUGAGGAAUCAGGAGUGCCACCACCGGAGUCUUUUGCUUUUUUUGUUGUGUAAGGACAAAAAGCAAAACCUGGAAGAACAAAAACCAAAUGGUUUGUUCUCCCAGGAAAAGAAAAACCCUUACUACCUGCUGCUCUACACGAACCAGAGGACUUUAGCUUCGUCGCGUGCCUGAAACUAGAGGAAAAUUAAAGGUCGCCCCCCCCAAAGUCACUACAUUGGUGCACUAAAUGCCAUAAGAAAUAUUCCACAACAUUACUAAGUUUCAGCCAUGAUACAUGAAACUAGAUUACUGACACUGGUCCAGAUUCAGAGGUUAGUCAAACUAGCGAGGAUCAACCGCUUAAAUUUGACUCUGUAAGAGACAAUUACCACCCCCCCCCCGCAAAACCUGAUAUUCUCUGAAAUUGACAUCUUUGGACAUUUACUGUGACUGACCGAAACGGUACAAACCGCACCCAGACAGUUUCUCCACACUGACACUCAACUUCCCAGAACUGGAUCAAACCAAGACAGACCAACUUCCUGUGACUCUGCAGCUGUGAGCUGUCCCAGUGCGCCGUAGAAACAGAAGUUGACUCAAGAGAUAUCUGAAAGGAAGAAAGAAAGAAAUGUUGCCCCCCACCCUCCCUGCGUCCACCCAAACUACUGGAAUGUGCCCAUUUUACGCAAUAGCUACAUGGAACAUUUAGGUUAUGCAUUUAAAAAAAAUCUUAAUGUUAUGUAGAGCUGUUGUGCAUGCAGACAAAGGGUUGAAUUACACAGCCGUAGUGUGUUCAAAGUCAAAUGGGAACCAAAAUGACUUAACUUAGUAAACAAGAAACUGAAGAGAUGCUCAAUUAGCAGCAAGACAAGCUUGUGGCUCUUCAUCUGAAAGUGACUGGGUUCUCAGUGUUCCAUUACGCAGUUACGGGGCGGAUCACAGAUGCCAAUUCAAGACCAUUUUACUUCAGAUUGAGAAAUAGUCACCUGAGAAACCAAAAGGGGUAAAGGAAAGGAACAAACAGCACAGAGGGAGAGGAGACGGUGAAGAACAUCGGGCGGGGCUGACUUUAAGCUCAAGCCAAUAGAGGGAGAGAUGGUAGGUACUUCAUUCAGGGGGCACACUCAUUUGCUGACAGUUCCCGGCGGCUGAUACAUUCAGAUGCAGGAGGCGCAAUCGUAGCGGACAGUGAAACGAGAGAAUGAUCUGAAACGAAGAGGUGUCGACACAAACAUUCUCCCACCACACCAUCACAAACACCGUAGCUACAAACACCUUGACCAGAGCCACAGGCCCACCCAUAGCCCACCUUCAUCUCCACACACCCAGCAACCCCAGCUACCCCACCGCACCCCAAUCCGCACACACUCCCCUCCUCCAGUGCCAGGGCCCGAGUCGGAGUCUCCCUCCAGCAAGUCUGACUCAUCCCGGAACAGAGACCGAGACACGGCCAGCCCCAGCUCCGAGCAGAGCAACCGCCACAACCGGUCAACCUACCGCUGGCAUCCAAAGCCACACAGGACCUUGACAGGUGACACAGGCGAACUCCAGGCACUGCAGGAGGAGAAUGCUGAGCUGCACCAGAACCUGAUGCAAACAGUGGUCUGCAUCGAGAGCCUGGAGGCGGAGCUAGCCAGGGCCAGGGAGGAGCUUAGCCACAUGAAGGAGAAGUUCAAGAGGCUCCAGGACACACACACAGGUACCCAGCACACCAACAGCCUUCUGGGGGAGAAACUGCACUCAGCGGUUCCCUGUCUGAUCAAGGAGCUCCUAGAGAAGCACUUUGACUCUGGAGACACUGUCAAGCAGUUCCUGAAGAACGCCUUGAAAACCGGCCAAUCCACAAGCGACAUCCAAUCACCUGCUACAAAACUGGAGCAGAAGCCAUCUGAUUGGUCAGGUGCAGGACUCAGGGAGUUUGAGGCGGGUCCACAAAAGGUCACUGCUUUUAUGCCCUGGAAGCAGGAGGAGGGGUUUGGGGUGAUAGGUCAGACAGGAAAUGAGGAUUCUCGCCCGAUGAGUCCCCCUUUCUCCGUCGCUGACAUCAGUAUGGCUAUCUAUAAGAAACUAGCUGCCAGCCAAGCGGCAAGACAGCCCCGGCCUUCCAACUACCAACCUCACACUGACACCCCUCCCAACCCCUACCCUCUGGUGGAGUUGGGUACAGGGGGUGCAGGAGGUGCAUGGGAGGAGGGUUACCUUGUGCCUGCUGUCAAGGAGGGCAUGGCAGUUGCAGGGAGAGCAGCUGAGAGUAAGCAGGGUGCUGUUGUUGAUGUGUCCUAUCUGACGGCCCAGAGGGUUCUGGAUGACUUCAUGCACCAGCUGACACACCCAGAGGAUGGGAGCGCAGGUGGGGAGAGGGGGCAUAAGGCCAACGGGGGAGGGGGAACAACUGAAGAGAAGGGGGCAGAGUGAAACGAACCUAUGAAUUGCUGUAAUUGUAACCUUAUAUUACAUAGGCUAGGAUUGUUCAAGAUGUGAUGGUUUGUUUGUGAUGGUUUGAGGCCUGUAGUUCUGCAUUUAUUUAACAUUUUAAUGUCACUAUACAUUUGAGUGAUGGCAUUGUAAAUAUUACAUUCUGUUUCUUUCCCAAAUGUCUUGUGGUGCAGUUGUAAAGAAAGUAUUAGACUUAAACAAUUAAUUGAACUAUAUACAGAAUAUAAUUAUUAAUCCAAAUUUGCAAUGUGAUACAGUCCAUCCUUUUCCUUGUGAAGUGAUGCAGAAUUUAAAUGUUUUGUUAAUGCCUAGACAGUGAGUAGAAUUUUCUAUUUUAUAACAAUGACCGCUAUUUUGUAAGCUCCAGUAAGCCAAUGAAGGAACCUUCAUAUCUGAAUAACAUCGAUCCAGCUGGCAUUAACGUAUUACCCACUGUGUUUUGGGCUAUCAUGUCACAUGACCUAGAGUUUAACCUUUAUUUUAAGCCUUUUCCAGAAAUGAGAACUAUGAAAGCAAUUGUCUGAGGAUGGUGUCGGAGGAUGCUGCUGGACCAUCUGACAUAAAAAGAAAAGGGGACAGUUUGAUGAAAAAAUUUAAAUAAAGGUUCAAAUCCAGGUCUUGUGACAUGACUGUGCAAAACACAGGGCCCUACAUUAACGCUAUGCUGUCCAUCCUAAUGAACUGUCUUAGCUAAAACUGUAUAAAGCUGCUGUCCCCCCCAAGACUUUUGAUGUUGUAGAUUAAUAAAAUGACUAAUUCUAAA
rnacentral:lncRNA from 1 species